GUGACAAUAUUCACCGUUCCCACCUCAUAUAAUUUUUUCCACCUCGCGAACACCCAGAUUUACCUCUCCCGUCUACCACCAAUAACCCACGACCAGAUCUGUGAAACCUAGAGCCGCCGCCAUUAGAUCCCACGAGCCCCGGUAGCGACUCUCCGGUGAACCCUGCAAUAGCGGCAUCUCUCCUCCCCUCGUCAUAACAGGGUCGUCUGCUUGAGAAAUUUGUUGACGUGUUGCGCAGAGGUGCGAUCCAGCCGGACUCGGUGCAAGGAGGCCCGUCGCGCGCCACAAGACCAAGGCGGACCAUAGCCAGGAAUUUCAUGUGGUUCAUGCUCUACAGGCUUCUAAUAAAAUGAAUCGAAUCUUCAAGUUAUACUGCCUACAAGAGGAUUGAUAAUGUUCGAUCUGAACAUGGAUCAUGAAGAUAUUGCUGCAUCAUGUUGGCUGUACUUAUUUUUCGAAGCUAAUGAGUAAUGGAAAAGUAUGGUGAUCGGUAAUUACCCUAAUGCUUACAAGAUAAAUUACUAACUGCGAUGCAAAUGAAAGUUUUAUUGCAAAUUUUUGAUGAUUCACACCAGAAGGAAAAGAUCUACAUGAUGCUGCGAAGACCCGUUGGUGUUGAAGUACAUGCAAAAGUUUAGAUAGAUUCUAGCUAUUUAGAAUUACUUGUGUACUUAAGUAUUUUCUGUUCAUGUUCACUUUGCCCCCUUCUACAUAUAUGUACA